GUCAUAKGCUUGUCUCAAAGAUUAAGCCAUGCAUGUCUCAGUACAAGCCAAAUUAAGGUGAAACCGCGAAAGGCUCAUUAAAUCAGUUAUGGUUCCUUAGAUCGUACCCACAAUUACUUGGAUAACUGUGGUAAUUCUAGAGCUAAUACAUGCAAACAGAGCUCCGACCGGAGACGGAAGGAGUGCUUUUAUUAGAUCAAAACCAAUCGGUGGCGGGUUCGCGCUCGUUAUCGUACAACUUGGUGACUCUGAAUAACUUUACGCUGAUCGCACGGUCAUCGCACCGGCGACGCAUCUUUCAAAUGUCUGCCUUAUCAACUGUCGAUGGUAGGUUCUGCGCCUACCAUGGUUGUAACGGGUAACGGGGAAUCAGGGUUCGAUUCCGGAGAGGGAGCCUGAGAAACGGCUACCACAUCCAAGGAAGGCAGCAGGCGCGCAAAUUACCCACUCCCGGCACGGGGAGGUAGUGACGAAAAAUAACGAUACGGGAC
rnacentral:rRNA from 1 species